CUUGGUAAUAAAAAGUUUAUCAAAGAGAUUUGUAGCUGUAAUUAGCUUUAGUUAGGUGACGUUAGCUAGCUAGCGCGGUGCUAGCAAUAUGUUUUUAGCAUCAGGUUACUAGUGAGAUAUGUUGUUUGCACAAAUUGUUUGCAGCAGAGCACGGUAAUUUAUGUGAGUAAAAUAAACAUUUUUUUUUUACAUCAACUCAUAAGUUAUGUGAAACUUCCCCAGGAGCAUUGUUAAAAUACUUUGGAGGCACAGAAUCAGCCCAGAGCCAGUCCACAUCCUCAGGCUCAACUGUGAGUGAUGAAUCAGGUCCAUCUCCAUCUUCUACAGUGCUCUCUCACACACCUCCAUCCUCUGUGCCCACUGUCCCCUCCAUGUCUAAAACCACAGCUGAUUUAUCUACAACUUCCACCACAACGUCCCCUUCACACCAUG